UCUUAGAACUACAACUGUGUCCAGAUCCUGAUCUUGUUCUAAAAUCUAUAUCUAUUUAUCUAUCUGAAGGCUACAGGUCAAACUCUGAGGUUGGCAGUAUGGAGUCCCAUCCAGGGUUCUAGAUCCAGUUCUGAUAUGGGACUGGCAGAAGCAGCUGUUGCCUGAGCAUACCGGGCGGGGGUUUGUCUGAACGGGUGACUGUGGGAGAAGCUUAUUGCAAUAUCACUACAGGAUCACUGCUGUUGACUAGGAAGC